rnacentral:rRNA from 1 species
CCCUUAGAUGUUCUGGGCCGCACGCGCGCUACACUGACGAAGCCAGCGAGCCUUGUCCUUCGCCGUCAGGUGCGGGGAAUCUUGCGGACCUUCGUCGUGCUGGGGAUAGAUCAUUGCAAUUCUUGAUCUUGAACGAGGAAUUCCUAGUAAGCGCAAGUCAUCAGCUUGCGUUGAUUACGUCCCUGCCCUUUGUACACACCGCCCGUCGCUGCCCGGAACUGAGCCGUUUCGAGAAGACUGAGGAUUGCUGACUUGAGGCCUUCACGGGCUUCUAGUCGGUGAAAAUCAAUUUAAUCGCAGCGGCUUGAACCGGGCAAAAGUCGUAACA